UACGAAGGGGGGCUAGCGUUGUUCGGAAUCACUGGGCGUAAAGCGCACGUAGGCGGAUUGUUAAGUCAGGGGUGAAAUCCCGGAGCUCAACUCCGGAACUGCCUUUUGAUACUGGCAAUCUAGAGUCCGGAAGAGGUGAGUGGAACUCCUAGUGUAGAGGUGGAAUUCGUAGAUAUUAGGAAGAACACCAGUGGCGAAGGCGGCUCACUGGUCCGGUACUGACGCUGAGGUGCGAAAGCGUGGGGAGCAAACAGG
rnacentral:rRNA from 1 species